UCGUGCUAGACGGGGAACUAGCGGUGCCCUGUAACCCGCAAUCCGCUAUAGCGGGGUCGAACUCCCGGCCUGAGGGUCCGGCCUGUGGGGUCUGACCCGUGUAAGCGGUGUGGAUGACUGGGUCUCGCGCAACAUUCCGGUAUCGAAUCCCGUCAGGUCCGGAAGGAAGCAGUGGUAAGGUAUCAGGGGUGUGUGCCGCGAGGAAGCCUGGUCGGAGCUGGCUGCUCGGGUAACGCCUGGAGGCCGCGAUUCGAGGGCGGGUGCACGA
rnacentral:SRP_RNA from 1 species